rnacentral:rRNA from 1 species
UACGUAGGGCGCAAGCGUUAUCCGGAAUUAUUGGGCGUAAAGAGCUCGUAGGCGGUUUGUCGCGUCUGCCGUGAAAAGUCCGGGCUCAACUCCGGAUCUGCGGUGGGUACGGGCAGACUAGAGUGAUGUAGGGGAGACUGGAAUUCCUGGUGUAGCGGUGAAAUGCGCAGAUAUCAGGAGGAACACCGAUGGCGAAGGCAGGUCUCUGGGCAUUAACUGACGCUGAGGAGCGAAAGCAUGGGGAGCGAACAGG